rnacentral:rRNA from 1 species
UACGUAGGGGGCAAGCGUUGUCCGGAAUCAUUGGGCGUAAAGAGCGUGUAGGCGGCUCGGUAAGUCCGCUGUGAAAGUCCAGGGCUCAACCCUGGAAUGGCGGUGGAAACUGUCGAGCUAGAGUCCGGAAGAGGCGAGUGGAAUUCCUGGUGUAGCGGUGAAAUGCGCAGAUACCAGGAGGAACACCAAUGGCGAAGGCAGCUCGCUGGGACGGUACUGACGCUGAGACGCGAAAGCGUGGGGAGCAAACAGG